ensembl:lncRNA
GUGUGUGUGUGUGUGUGUGUGUGUGUGUGUGUGUGUGUGUGUGUGUGUGUGUGUACUAUAUGCGGUUAUGUGUAUGUGUGUGUGAGUGUAUGCGUGGGUGUGUGUCUGUGUGGGUCUGUGCGUCUGUGUGUGGUUAAUUAGUGUCAGACAAGGCGCUAUUGUAGUCAUGUAGUAUCUUCAUCUGUGUGUGUGUGUGUGUGUGUGUGUGUGUAUGUUCAUGUAUGGGCGUGUGCAAAUGUAUGUAUUGGCCUGUGUUGUAUGUGUGUAUGUGCACGUUUGGGCUUGUGCAUGUGUGUGUGUUUGUGAAAGGUAGGAAGAGAAACACAGGAGGAGAAAGAGAGGAAGAAGAGAGAGAGAGAUGGAGAGGAAAGAGAGAGGGG